rnacentral:rRNA from 1 species
GACGAACGCUGGCGGCGUGCUUAACACAUGCAAGUCGAACGAAGUGGCGUACGGGUGAGUAACGCGUAAUCAACCUGCCCUUCAGAGGGGGACAACAGUUGGAAACGACUGCUAAUACCGCAUACUGAAGUAGGGGGUUGAGUCUGAUGUGGUAGUUGGAGGGGUAACGGCCCACCAAGGCGAGGAUCAGUAGCCGGGCUGAGAGGAGGAACGGCCAAAUUGGGACUGAGGAACGGCCCAGAACCCUACGGGAGGGCGCAGGGGGGAAUCUUCCGCAAUGGACGAAAGGCUGACUGAGCAACGCCGCGUGAGUGAUGACGGCCUUCGGGUUGUAAAGCUCUGUUAAUCGGGACGCGGUACCGGAAUAGAAAGCCACGGCUAACUACGUGCCAGCAGCCGCGGUAAUUC